UGGGGAAUUUUGGACAAUGGGCGAAAGCCUGAUCCAGCAAUGCCGCGUGUGUGAAGAAGGCCUUCGGGUUGUAAAGCACUUUUGUCCGGAAAGAAAUCCUUGGCUCUAAUACAGUCGGGGGAUGACGGUACCGGAAGAAUAAGCACCGGCUAACUACGUGCCAGCAGCCGCGGUAAUACGUAGGGUGCAAGCGUUAAUCGGAAUUACUGGGCGUAAAGCGUGCGCAGGCGGUUUGCUAAGACCGAUGUGAAAUCCCCGGGCUCAACCUGGGAACUGCAUUGGUGACUGGCAGGCUAGAGUAUGGCAGAGGGGGGUAGAAUUCCACGUGUAGCAGUGAAAUGCGUAGAGAUGUGGAGGAAUACCGAUGGCGAAGGCAGCCCCCUGGGCCAAAUACUGGAGCUCAUGCACGAAAAGCGUGGGGAGCAAAACAGGAUUAGAUACCCUGGUAGUCCACGCCCUAAAACGAUGUCAACUAGUUGUUGGGGAUUCAUUUCCUUAGUAACGUAGCU
rnacentral:rRNA from 1 species